rnacentral:rRNA from 1 species
UACGUAGGGGGCAAGCGUUGUCCGGAAUCAUUGGGCGUAAAGAGCGUGUAGGCGGCCUGAUAAGUCCGCUGUGAAAGUCCAGGGCUCAACCCUGGGAUGCCGGUGGAUACUGUCGGGCUCGAGUCCGGAAGAGGAGUGUGGAAUUCCUGGUGUAGCGGUGAAAUGCGCAGAUAUCAGGAGGAACACCAAUGGCGAAGGCAGCACUCUGGGACGUGACUGACGCUGAGACGCGAAAGCGUGGGGAGCAAACAGG